GCUGGGUGUGGUGGCGGGCACCUGUAAUCCCAGCUACUCAGGAGGCUGAGACAGGAGAAUUGCAUGAACCCAGGAGGUGGAGAUUGCAGUGAGCCGGGACUGUGCCACUGCACUCUAGCCUGGGCAACAGAGCGAGACUCUGUCUCAA
rnacentral:SRP_RNA from 2 species